rnacentral:tRNA from 1 species
GGCCAAAAAGCAAAACUGGUUUUGCAUUAGGUUGCAAACCUAAAGGUUAUGGGUUCAAGCCCCAUUUUGGCUU